CAAUUCACUACUAAGCAAGUUCUAACAAAUUGACUAUUUGUGUGAUAAAUUCUUUGAGUUAACUUGCUAUUUUCAUGAGAAAUAAAAUUGACAAGUCACCUGAUUAGCUAGUUGGUGAGGUAAUAGCUUACCAAGGCGAUGAUCAGUAGCUGGUCCGAGAGGAUGAUCAGCCACACUGGGACUAAGACACGGCCCAGACUCCUACGGGAGGCAGCAGUGGGGAAUUUUCCGCAAUGGGUGAAAGCCUGACUCU
rnacentral:ncRNA from 1 species